rnacentral:lncRNA from 1 species
GAAAAAAGAACGAAGAAGAGAGACCCCGCUUUAGGGUUGGAAGGAAGUGACUAUUUAUACUAGUCCACUUUGUAACGGUUUCCAAAGCUUUCCCGUGUAAAAUCCUCACGUUCCAAGAGUCAAACGAAAUAAUAGGCUUCAACGUGCCUCUGUUGCGUUUCUGAAGCCAAAAAUAUAGGAGAAUGGUGUGACGUCCGUCACACCAUGUGUUACACUCGUAACAC